rnacentral:rRNA from 1 species
AAUCCUUUUGUAGCUCAUCAUUUAUUGGCAAAGAUAGAAAAGGUCAAUAUGAAGGAGGAGAAAGAAACAAUAGUAACGUGGUCCCGGGCAUCUAGCAUUCUACCCACAAUGGUUGGCACCUGA